GAUGAACGCUGGCGGCGUGCUUAACACAUGCAAGUCGAACGAGAAGUGAAGACGGAAACCUUCGGGCGGAAGGCUUUAUUUCGAGUGGCGGACGGGUGAGUAACGCGUGGGUAACCUGCCUCAUACAGGGGGAUAACAGUUGGAAACGACUGUUAAUACCGCAUAAGACCACAGCACCGCAUGGUGCGGGGGUAAAAACUCCGGUGGUAUGAGAUGGACCCGCGUUCGAUUAGCCAGUUGGCGGGGUAACGGCCCACCAAAGCGACGAUCGAUAGCCGAUCUGAGAGGAUGACCGGCCACAUUGGGACUGAGACACGGCCCAAACUCCUACGGGAGGCAGCAGUGGGGAAUAUUGCACAAUGGGGGAAACCCUGAUGCAGCGAUGCCGCGUGAGUGAAGAAGUAUUUCGGUAUGUAAAGCUCUAUCAGCAGGGAAGAAAAUGACGGUACCUGAGUAAGAAGCCCCGGCUAACUACGUG
rnacentral:rRNA from 1 species